CCGUUCUCAACGGGGUGCCCAUGCUACCGCCCGCCGCGGUCGGAGUGAGCUGAGAGAAGACCCGUCGAACCUGAUCCGGUUAAUACCGGCGAAGGGAUUUGAGAGUGCGCACUGC
rnacentral:ncRNA from 2 species